rnacentral:rRNA from 1 species
GAUGAACGCUGGCGGCGUGCUUAACACAUGCAAGUCGAACGGUGAAGGCGGAGCUUGCUCUGCUGGAUCAGUGGCGAACGGGUGAGUAACACGUGAGCAAUCUGCCCCUGACUCUGGGAUAAGCGCUGGAAACGGCGUCUAAUACUGGAUACGAGCUGCGAAGGCAUCUUCAGCAGCUGGAAAGAACUUCGGUCAGGGAUGAGCUCGCGGCUUAUCAGCUUGUUGGUGAGGUAACGGCUCACCAAGGCGUCGACGGGUAGCCGGCCUGAGAGGGUGACCGGCCACACUGGGACUGAGACACGGCCCAGACUCCUACGGGAGGCAGCAGUGGGGAAUAUUGCACAAUGGGCGAAAGCCUGAUGCAGCAACGCCGCGUGAGGGACGACGGCCUUCGGGUUGUAAACCUCUUUUAGCAGGGAAGAAGCGAAAGUGACGGUACCUGCAGAAAAAGCGCCGGCUAACUACGUG